AGUGAACGCUGGCGGUAGGCCUAACACAUGCAAGUCGAACGGCAGCACAGUAAGAGCUUGCUCUUACGGGUGGCGAGUGGCGGACGGGUGAGGAAUACAUCGGAAUCUACUUUUUCGUGGGGGAUAACGUAGGGAAACUUACGCUAAUACCGCAUACGACCUACGGGUGAAAGCAGGGGAUCUUCGGACCUUGCGCGAUUGAAUGAGCCGAUGUCGGAUUAGCUAGUUGGCGGGGUAAAGGCCCACCAAGGCGACGAUCCGUAGCUGGUCUGAGAGGAUGAUCAGCCACACUGGAACGGAGACACGGUCCAGACUCCUACGGGAGGCAGCAGUGGGGAAUAUUGGACAAUGGGCGCAGGCCUGAUCCAGCCAGACCGCGUGGGUGAAGAAGGCUUUCGGGUUGUAAAGCCCUUUUGUUGGGAAAGAAAAGCAGCAGGGUAAUACCCCGCUGUUCUGACGGUACCCAAAGAAUAAGCAACGGCUAACUUCGUG
rnacentral:rRNA from 1 species